AAUGCUUGGGAAUCUAGCUUAUGGAGGGGGAGUAACUACGGGAAACUGUAGCUAAUACCGCGUAGAGUCGAGAGAUGAAAGUGUGGGACCUUCGGGCCACAUGCCAUAGGAUGAGCCCAAGUGGGAUUAGGUAGUUGGUGAGGUAAAGGCUCACCAAGCCGACGAUCUCUAGCUGGUCUGAGAGGAUGACCAGCCACACUGGGACUGAGACACGGCCCAG
rnacentral:rRNA from 1 species